GGUCUUAUAUUCAAGAAUGAUAAUAGAAUGCAAUUCUAUAGGGGUAAGAUAAAACUUACUAAGACUU
rnacentral:tRNA from 1 species